rnacentral:rRNA from 1 species
UACGUAGGGUGCAAGCGUUGUCCGGAAUUAUUGGGCGUAAAGCGUGCGCAGGCGGUCUUUUAAGUCAGAUGUGAAAUCCCCGGGCUUAACCUGGGAACUGCGUUUGAAACUGGAAGGCUAGAGUGUGGCAGAGGGGGGUGGAAUUCCACGUGUAGCAGUGAAAUGCGUAGAUAUGUGGAGGAACACCGAUGGCGAAGGCAGCCCCCUGGGCUAACACUGACGCUCAUGCACGAAAGCGUGGGGAGCAAACAGG